rnacentral:misc_RNA from 1 species
GAUGAAGAACGCAGCGAAAUGCGAUACUUGUUGCGAAUUGCAGAAUCCCGUGAACCAUCGAGUCUUUGAACGCAAGUUGCGCCUCAAGCCAUUAGGUUGAGGGCACGUCUGCCUGGGCGUCACAUAUCGUUGCCUGAUGCCAGUUUCCUCGUGAUGGGUGACUGUGCAGGGCGAAUGAUGGCUUCCCGUGAGCAUUGUUGCCUCAUGGUUGGUUGAAAAUUGAGUCCUUGGUAGGGAGCGCCGUGAUAGAUGGUGGUUGAGUGACGAACGAGACCCAAUCAUGUGAGACCCCUACCGAAUUUGGCCUUCAUGACCCACAUGCGUCUUUGGAACGCUCAUGACGAGACCUCAGGUCAGGCGGGGCUACCCGCUGAGUUUAAGCAUAUCAAUAAGCGGAGGA